GUAGAAAUGGUUGAAACUAAAUUCGAAACUCAAUUUCAACAAUUCGAAACCAAAAUGUCUCAACAGCAGAACCAAAUGGUCCGUCAACUAAAAGAUAAAAAUCAGCAACUAGAAGAGAAAGUCAUUCGGCUAGAAUUUAGAGUGCAACAACUAGAAUUGUCGGUAAUCGCUCUACAAGAGAUCAGAAAAAGUAUCGAUCCGCUAACUGGGAGAAGUGCUAUCCCGAGGACAUGCAGAGAAGCCCGUCUAGCGGACCCAUCUCUAAAUUCCAGCAUGUACUGGAUCAAUCCGGACGGACAAGGCGUCGGGGAUGACCCAAUUUACGUCCAUUGCGACAUGACUACAGGUACGACCGACACUGGGAAAAUGAUGAAACAAUUUUGUGUGCCCUAUUAUUUUGCUUAGAUACGACAUCCGUUCCACACGACAGUGAGUAGUGAACGGGGCUGAUGCCAGACUGAACGACAUAAGUGAAUGAAACCAAAAGCAUUGACAUUGUCCAUAACAAAAAGGUUUCACCAAACAAAAACCUUUCCAAGAUGGCAACCUCGAACCACUUUCUACUCUCAGCAAUCCAGUCUGUCGAGAAUGAACCAACAUUGUUUCUUCAGAAAGAUGAACAAAUUCUGAUUGAUAUUGCAAUUAAUGGGACCAGACAACUUCAACAAGAAUUACCCGCAUAAAAUGUCGCCCCACAGAGUGUAUGUAGUUCUACAACAAGACCUCGAAACAUAGUUGAUCAAAAUUGGGUGAUACGUGCCUCACAUCCAUGACUCCGUCUCCAAAAUGUGGAACUCCUAGA